rnacentral:rRNA from 1 species
UACAGAGGGUGCGAGCGUUGUUCGGAAUUAUUGGGCGUAAAGGGCGCGUAGGCGGCGCGGUAUGUCACCUGUGAAAUCUCCUGGCUCAACUGGGAGCUUGCAGGCGAAACUGCCGUGCUGGAGUGUGGGAGAGGUGCGUGGAAUUCCCGGUGUAGCGGUGAAAUUCGUAGAUAUUGGGAAGAACACCGGUGGCGAAGGCGGCGACCUGGUCCAUUACUGACGGCUGAGGCGCGACAGCGUGGGGAGCAAACAGG